AAUCUUAGACACCUGUGGUAUACCUGACGUUUUUUAUUACUCCUUAAGGUUCUGUAAGACUCUGAAGGACUCUACGUGUUUAUUUAGAGUCCCGUCCACGAACGGUGAACAGUGUUCAAGAAGUCUCACGACGGCGAAUUGAGAAAGAAGAGGUUAGGAAAGAGUUCACCUUUGUAAUGUCAUAACGGUUUUCGUUUCUACCCGCGUCGUCUCAGUAGAAGGUUCGAACCACCGAGGCAGGUACUGAAGCAACAAUUCCUACACUCUCCUUUACUACACCUCGAGUCGUCUAUGUUCCCCUUUCAGGACGAAUAACACUUACAGCGUAGAGCUACACCAGACCGUUUAAGGUUGAUGUGCCUCGACCCGGUUGAGAUACUCUUUAUGUCCCUCUUUCCUAACCUCUAUAACCGCAAGGGAACGUUAGUCAAACGGCCCGUCCUUGGUCUAUCACUACUCUUCUAACACCUCAAACGAACGUUAGCGAAGGUUCGUCUCAAAGGAUAAAAAGCGUUCCAGCUGCACUUACCGUUGUUACGACGGGACGACAUGUUCAAGAACUUUAGUCUCUCUCCGCCAGAUAAACCUCUCGCAUAGUUUACCUUGAAGUGGUUCAAAGAUCAACUGUUUCUCCCCGUGCAGUACUUGGCUAUGCGUGGCUGGACCAGGGGUGAGCCGUAACUCUUACUGUAGUUCUUCGACAACCUCCAAACUCCAUAGAGGUCCCUUCUAGUACGCCGCCGCACAGUACACAUACACAGUAAACAAGAAAAGCGAUGACAUACACACACAUGUGAACGAGAUAGUUCUCAUUGGGGUCAGACAACAUACGAUGAGACAAAAGAUGUGCCACUUUAUUAAAGGGGUUUUAAUGUUUGUUUUAUAUAACUACGUUGUUUUGUGUCGGACCUCUCAUUAGAGAUUCUUACUAGAGUUUUUGGCUUACCCGAUAAAGUUUCAUAUGUAAACCAUAAGAAAAACCCUUGUCUUUUUAGAGAGCUCUCUACCUUCACAGCUGUUUAUACUCGAUAGGAGAUCUUCUCAACUAUAGUUACGACCUUGAAGAG
rnacentral:rRNA from 1 species